GAGAGGGCAAGGGGAAAAAAAAAAAAAAAACGAAAAGAAAAAAAAAAGCCUAGGGAGAACAUUAUUGUAGCCAAAAGUCAAAGGAAACUUUUUUUGCAGCUCGAACCGUAAUUCUUUCCUGUUUCAACGCCACUGAGUGGAAAUGAUGACGAGGAAGAAAGAUUUCAUUGUUAGUGGAACGAACUGAAAAAAAAAAACAAAGGCCGGCCGGCGAGCGUGUUCAUGUGCCUUUAAUUUUAUAUCCGAGGCCACUUUGGGAAUGGAAGGUUGUUGACUGACUUUUCGAGAGAGCCGGAGGCCAAAAGAAUGAGGCCAAACCUCAGUGACGAGAGACCCGGAUGACGGCUUGGCUGGGCCUGGGCUGCCUGUGAAUCUGGGGGGGACGGGGGGUGGGACGGGACAUAGUGGUCCCCUGAUGGUGAAUCCAUGGGCUGAGUUAAGCCGCUGGCCCUCCCCAGCGUGGAUGGGCCCCAUGCCACCCGUUGAGCGCUAGAGUAGAAAAAGAAAGGUGGAGGAAAGAGGAAGUCGCUCUCUGUUUGAGCUGAGACGUCCGUCUUCUGCCCUCGGCCUUCGCAGCUGCCGGUUCUCCCAUCUUUGGUCUUGGACCGAGUCCGCCACCCGCUCUCCUGGGUCUCCAGCUCGAUGGGUGGCACUUCGCAGCCUCCAUCACCCCAUGAGGCAAUCCCUAGAAUACACCUCCUCUUGCACCUAUCUCUAGGUAUCCUAUGGGCUCUGAUUCUCCGGAGAACCUUGACGAAUACGGAGGACGAUGGCUAGAGAAGGUGACGGGGGUGGAAGACGAUGGGCAGGAGGUUUUCCAAGAUGACGUGGGUGGCGUCUGAGGUCACGUGAAUAAAGUCAGGGCUGCGGCCUGGAACGGACGCUCCCCAAGACUCUCCAGAAGGAAUCAGCCCUGCUGACCCCCUGGUUUCAGACUUCCAGUCUCUAGAAGCUUGAGCAAAUCCAUUGCUGUUGCCUUAAGACCCGCAGUCUAUGGGACGUUGUGGUGGCAGCCGCGGGAGACCGGUCCGAGGAGGAUCAGACGCCUUCUAAUCGUCUUUCCCCGAAAGCAAUUGUGAGUCUGUGCUGUUAGUGAUAACGUCUCUGCACCCACCUGUUUCUCUUUCCCAUCACGGUGCCUUCGGUGCGGGCGGGUGGGGAGACACGCGAGAGUCAGGGGCAGGAACGAGGAAGGCACGGCACGCUCGUUCUGGGUCCUUCUGCUGCACGGUUGGUCUGCCGUCUGUCAAUCAAGUUUCCGAGUGGCAGGCGACGGAAUAGCCUUCUGAAUCGUUGUGCAAAAGGACAAGGAAUUUGUUCAAAGAACCUUGGACCCUCGAGGAAUCGCGCAAACGUUCUGGUGCGGGGCACAAGCAUCAGAAGCGUUCAGACUCUUAUAGGAUCCCCUCGCCCGGGAGAUGGGCAGGAGCUGAGAUUUGCUUCUCACCGACAGCUUAUGGCAAAGGUGGUGGGGUGUCACCUCCGUGACCUCACUACGUAGGACUCAGUUUGGUUAGCAGACGCCCUCCGGUCUUCCUCUCCCUCUGGGUCGCUGGCUUGGACGAGGCAGCUCCCGUGAGGCAAGAGGCCGUGUUGCAGGAACCCACACGACACAGAAUAACGGGUGACCCCCAGGAGCUGAGGGCUAGUUCCAGCCAGAAGCUGCACCCUCGGUCCUGCACCCGCAAGGAAGUGAAUUCCCCCGACAACCUCAAGAAGUUGGAAGCCGAUGGCAGAGUGACCUUGCCUGGAGUACUCAAUGAACGUCUUCAUGAUGGCCCUAAAGUCAUCAGGAUUUGUAAAAGCAUCAUGGAGCCAAACUCCCACUCAUGACUGGGCCGUACAAUCUCUUUUUCACUAUUUCAGUUCAAAUGGGAGGCUCCUCGGGUCUCCUGGGACAGGCGAAUCUGUUUCAACCAGUUGACGACUUUAAAAAUUCAUAUAAGCAAAGGGGACUUCCACUCAGUGGAAAUGAAAACCACGCCCAUAUAUGUCUUUGUUUUCUAACCACAGAUUAGAUCAAAAAAACACAUGCAGUCAAGCCAGGAUGAGUCAUUCGGCAUCUGGAAGACACUUGCACUCGCAGGCGCAGGUCACCCAACAGGAGGGAAGACCAGUCAGUGGUGGUUCCCUCGAAAACAGGAAAAUGAGGAUGGCAGAAGCCAUCGCUGACUACUCCAGGCAGGUAACUGUGCCAUCGUUAACAUUUUCACACCCCCUCCCCCCUCCCUGUUCCUGACCAGGCUGAGACCCUCAUCACCUGGGCUCCUGGGCUCCAUCUUCCCAACCUUGCUACCCGAGGCGUGGUCCCCAUGGACCAGCAGCAUCCGCAUCCCCUGGCUGCUCACUGGAGAUGCCGAAUCCCCGGCCCCACCUCCCAGAUGACAGCCAUCAGGGUCUGCCUUUGAACAAGCUCCGCUGGUGGUUCCUGAACUCAAUAAAGGUUGGCCACCAUGGGUUUCAACCCAUUGGAUCCCCUACUGACAAGCUGAGCGUUCCGAAACACGGGAUCUGCAUGGUUGUCCAUGAAGGGUGCAGCAUGCCACUCAUAACCCUGCACGUGUCCACCACUUCCCCCUCCCCGUUCCCUUGUCUCUGUCUCCCUUCUUCAUUCUGCAUCCCCAGCACUCCCUCUUCUGUCCUAAUACGCUCACCUCUGACCCCCUGACCCCUUGGCUGACCUUUGCUCCCCAUCACCUGAGACAGGGCGACACCUUCGGAUUGUGUCCGACAUGCUUUGGUCCCACUGAAGGGACCGGAACAAGCCACCCUGGCAUAGGCCUCUUCUGUCUAUGGAUUAUUUUCAGCUAACGGCCACUGAGAACCAGCAGAUGCAGGAAACGCUCCAAGGACGGGGCAGAAGGGUCCUUUCUGUACAGGAAAUUCACUUUUCCGGAGGAGAAAUGUCCAUCUGUCGAGACACCUGGAAAGAGCGGCCUCUUCACAACUCUUGUCCAUGGAGAACGCAGGGGCCGGAGUCGGCGUCACAAACCCUACUAAUUACGCUCGUCCACCAUACUUUCCUGG
rnacentral:lncRNA from 1 species